GGGGCUGUGGUGUAAUUGGGAACACAGUCGUUUCGACAGGUAGAGGUCCGAUUACUCUCAGCUCCACCA
rnacentral:tRNA from 1 species